CGGCAGACUUACCAGCAAGACUAAGCCUUCUCUGGCUUUGUUCUUUCCUUAAGUGUCUGCCAGAGAGACGUGAGGCAGUUUGAGGCCCUGCUUAUGAAUAUUUCUUAGCAGGGUUAUAGGUAUACCUCCAACAAGG